UACGUAGGUGACAAGCGUUGUCCGGAUUUACUGGGCGUAAAGAGCGCGCAGGCGGUCGUUCAAGUCGAGUGUGAAAGCCCCCGGCUCAACUGGGGAGGGUCACUCGAUACUGAUCGACUCGAAGGCAGGAGAGGGUAGUGGAAUUCCCGGUGUAGUGGUGAAAUGCGUAGAGAUCCGGAGGAACACCAGUGGCGAAGGCGACACGCUGGGCCAUACCUGACGCUAAAGCGCGACAGCAUGGGGAGCAAACGGG
rnacentral:rRNA from 1 species